CGGUGUUCAACUGGCGUGCCCGCGGGACCUCCUGCCGGUGACCUCAGCCCGCUAGGGCGGCUCAACUUGAAAUCCCAUCUUACUGCUCUUCAUUGAGUGUCGAGGUGGGCCGGCACGAUCACUUUUCAACAAAUUGGAGUGCUUAAAGCAGGCUAAAAUUGUGCGCGUCGUGCUGUGUGUAGCUGAUACUGUGAUAGGACCUCAGUGCUCAUAGCAUGCUUUUCGUAACGAUGCGGUAGCGAGUGAUAGCAUCAUAGGAGGGCGAUCGUAUUGUGACGUCAGAGGUGAUAUUAUUGGAUAGUCACAAGACCAGUUAAAGCCAAAGCUUUUGCCAAGAAAGAGUUCAAAGUUCAAGAAUGAAAGUAGGAGAUUAGAAGGCGAUCCGAUACCCCCCUAGUUUUUCCCAUAAACUAUACCAGAGAGCGAUCCGCCGACGUCCCUCUGAUGACUCGGCGGGCAGCUUCCGGGAAACCAAAGCCAGGGGGUUCCGGGGGAAGUAUGGUGGCAAAGGUGAAAACUAAAGGAGAAGUCAGAAUGGCACCACCCGGAGGGGAGCAUGGGGGCAAAUUUGAAUCAACACGGGAAACCUCACCAGGCCCAGACACGAGAGGGACUGACAGAUUGAGAGCUCUCUCCUGAUUCAAAGGGUGCAGGUCCAUGGCCGUUAUUGAUCGGUGGAGCGAUAUGUCUGUUUAAUUUCGAUAGGGGGCGGGACUUUGCCGUUAUAAGUAGACGCACUUAUGGCAUUUCAAAAUUCCGCCGGCUGCUGGCUUUGCACCCGUCGUCGCGCGCGAUUUUUGGUAUCGGCGUACAAUAAAUUUUUCUGAGAGGGACAAGUGG
rnacentral:rRNA from 1 species